UGGGGAAUAUUGGACAAUGGGCGAAAGCCUGAUCCAGCCAUGCCGCGUGUGUGAAGAAGGUCUUAGGAUUGUAAAGCACUUUAAGUUGGGAGGAAGGGCAGUAAGCGAAUACCUUGCUGUUUUGACGUUACCGACAGAAUAAGCACCGGCUAACUCUGUGCCAGCAGCCGCGGUAAUAAAGAGGGUGCAAGCGUUAAUCGGAAUUACUGGGCGUAAAGCGCGCGUAGGUGGUUCGUUAAGUUGAAUGUGAAAGCCCCGGGCUCAACCUGGGAACUGCAUCCAAAACUGGCGAGCUAGAGUAGGGCAGAGGGUGGUGGAAUUUCCUGUGUAGCGGUGAAAUGCGUAGAUAUAGGAAGGAACACCAGUGGCGAAGGCGACCCCCUGGGCUCAUACUGACACUGAGGUGCGAAAGCGUGGGUAGCAAACAGG
rnacentral:rRNA from 1 species